rnacentral:rRNA from 1 species
GACGAACGCUGGCGGCGUGCUUAACACAUGCAAGUCGAACGGUGAUGCCCAGCUUGCUGGGCGGAUCAGUGGCGAACGGGUGAGUAACACGUGAGUAACCUGCCCCAGACUCCGGGAUAAGCCUUGGAAACGAGGUCUAAUACUGGAUAUGAGAUGCCCCUGCAUGGGGAGUGUCUGGAAAGAUUUAUCGGUCUGGGAUGGACUCGCGGCCUAUCAGCUUGUUGGUGGGGUAAUGGCCUACCAAGGCGACGACGGGUAGCCGGCCUGAGAGGGCGACCGGCCACACUGGGACUGAGACACGGCCCAGACUCCUACGGGAGGCAG